UUUCAAUGAAUGUCCCCUAAUUAUAGGGCUUUUUGCAGCAAGAGGGCUCUGAGUUAGGUCAAAUACAGACAUCACUGCAUGUGGGGUCUCUCUGGGAACCACUGACAGGUCAAAGAAUGACAAUUCGAUGUUGGUGCUUACACAUAUCUUGUUAUUAUCUUGUUUUCAUCUUAUUUUCCAUGAUCUCACUGGGACACCUUCUCCCCUGGCUUCAGUGAUCACCCACGUGCUGCUGAUGCCCAGGUCUGUAUCCUCCUCUCACCUCUGCUCAGCGUCGGACCUGCGCUCGGCUCUCUACUGGACGUCUCCCCCGGCUCCUCACGUCCACGUGUCCAGGGCUGCGUUUACCUUCGUCUUCUGACCUACACCAGUGCCCCGUUCCCAGUCAGGGGCCCCACCCAGAAACCUGGUCCUGUCCUUGGCUCCUGCCUCUCCUGACGCCCAGGGGCCGUUGAUCCAGGACCUGCCAGAUGUCAGACCCACUGCUCAGCACCUCGCGUGCAAAGAUUUAUUUUAUUGUUACAAUCUUAAGAGGGAGGAGAGAAAAAAAAGGGGAAACUUCUGCUGUUUCUAGCACUUAUUGGUGAGGACAUUGAAGCAGAGAUCCCUAAAGCCAUCACACUUUUUUUUCAGCUUCCUCUCCAUUUUGUGGCAUCUGGAACAGGUUUCCCCAUCCUCACCCUUCUCCCUGGCCCCAGACCAUGAGAAAUGCACUCUUAUGUUCCCCACUCCCUCUCAUGACACUAUAUUGCAAUGUGUCAGGUUCCUUUUUUGUAUUUUAUGAACUUGGCAUGAAAGAGAAUGGAUAUUUCUUCUCCCACAGGAAAUGAAAGCAGAAGCAGUUACUAGAUGUUUGAAGUGACCUUGAGCCAUCUGAUUGUUCUUUGGAACCAUGGCAGACUGAGUGGAAAAACAAACCUAACAGAGGUUCCUUGAAUGUGAAGCAGAACCACAUCUUCUUCGGAAAGUAACUCUCUUCUCACAUAGCUUUUGGUUUGCUAUUGAACUCUAGCAGAGUCUAAUACCUGAUCAUGGGACUGGUAUUGACUAGGCAUUGACCAGGCAACCUGAGCUGCCCGUUGUCAACUGGGUAUUUUCUAAUCCGUGAAACCAUACAACCAGGUAUGUCCAAGAGCAUUUCAUUAUCAAGUGGAAGUUACAUAUACAAGAGCAGCUCAAGCAGGACUUCCAAACACAAAAAGGUUGCUUACAACAAUGCACCUACACUUGCUGCCAAGACUAUCUCUAACAUUUGUGGAACCCAGGGCAAGAGUACAAAUGGAGAUCCACAGCAUACAUCCACAUAUUGAAAAGUUAUAAAUCAAGCUAAUAAAUGUUAAAUAAAAUAUGUUCAGUUCUCUUAGCCUGAAA